rnacentral:rRNA from 1 species
GAGUUUGAUCGUGGCUCAGAUUGAACGCUGGCGGCAUGCCUUACACAUGCAAGUCGAACGGCAGUACGGGAGCUUGCUCCUGGUGGCGAGUGGCGAACGGGUGAGUAAUGCAUCGGAACGUAUCCUGGAGUGGGGGGAUAACGUAGCGAAAGUUACGCUAAUACCGCAUAUUCUGUGAGCAGGAAAGCGGGGGACCUUCGGGCCUCGCGCUCUUGGAGCGGCCGAUGUCGGAUUAGCUAGUUGGUGAGGUAAAGGCUCACCAAGGCGACGAUCCGUAGCAGGUCUGAGAGGAUGAUCUGCCACACUGGAACUGAGACACGGUCCAGACUCCUACGGGAGGCAGCAGUGGGGAAUUUUGGACAAUGGGGGCAACCCUGAUCCAGCCAUGCCGCGUGAGUGAAGAAGGCCUUCGG